rnacentral:rRNA from 1 species
UACGGAGGGGGCUAGCGUUGUUCGGAAUUACUGGGCGUAAAGCGCACGUAGGCGGCUUUGUAAGUUAGAGGUGAAAGCCCGGGGCUCAACCCCGGAAUUGCCUUUAAGACUGCAUCGCUUGAAUUGUGGAGAGGUGAGUGGAAUUCCGAGUGUAGAGGUGAAAUUCGUAGAUAUUCGGAAGAACACCAGUGGCGAAGGCGACUCACUGGACACAUAUUGACGCUGAGGAGCGAAAGCGUGGGGAGCGAACAGG